AACGAACGCUGGCGGCAUGCCUAACACAUGCAAGUCGAACGAGACCUUCGGGUCUAGUGGCGCACGGGUGCGUAACGCGUGGGAACCUGCCCUUAGGUUCGGAAUAACUCCCCGAAAGGGGUGCUAAUACCGGAUAAUGUCUUCGGACCAAAGAUUUAUCGCCUUUGGAUGGGCCCGCGUUGGAUUAGCUAGUUGGUAGGGUAAAAGCCUACCAAGGCGACGAUCCAUAGCUGGUCUGAGAGGAUGAUCAGCCACACUGGGACUGAGACACGGCCCAGACUCCUACGGGGGGAAGCAGUGGGGAAUAUUGGACAAGGGGCGAAAGCCUGAUCCAGCAAGGCCGGGUGAGUGAUGAAGGCUUUAGGGUUGUAAAGCUCUUUACCCGGGAUGAUAAUGACAGUACCGGGAGAAUAAGCUCCGGCUAACUCCGUG
rnacentral:rRNA from 1 species